rnacentral:misc_RNA from 1 species
AAGUCGUAACAAGGUUUCCGUAGGUGAACCUGCGGAAGGAUCAUUAUUGAAUAUGCUUGAUGGGUUGUCGCUGGCCCCUCGGGGCAUGUGCACGCCUGUCUUGACUCUAUUCAUCCACCUGUGCACCUUUUGUAGUCUUGAAACACUUUUCUGAGGGCUCAAUCGAGGAAGCAGCUGCUCGGUCGAAAGGCCGGAUUUGAGGAUUGCUAUGGUCGAAAGACUCUUGGCUCUCUUCUGUUUACAAAAGCCGCGGAAUCGUUGCCUUUUGGAAAGCUUCGGGGCUAUGUCUUAUAUCACAAACCAUGUAGUAUGUUGCCAGAAUGUAUUCAAUGGGCCUUUGUGCCUAUAAAACCAUAUACAACUUUCAGCAACGGAUCUCUUGGCUCUC